GCCCUUAAUUCGUCGACAACAGAGUUUGAUCCUGGCUCAGAACGAACGCUGGCGGCAGGCCUAAUACAUGCAAGUCGAGCGUGAUCGGGUGGCUUCGGCUGCUCGUGAAAGCGGCGGACGGGUGAGUAACGCGUGGGAACGUGCCCUUUAGUACGGAAUAGCCCGGGGAAACUUGGAUUAAUGCCGUAUGUGCCCUACGGGGUAAAGAUUUAUCGCUAAAGGAUCGGCCGCGUCCGAUUAAGGUGGUUGGUGAAGGUAACCGGCUCACCAAGCCGCGAUCGUAGCUGGUUUGAGAGGAUGAUCAAGCCACACUUGGACUUGAACACGGNCCANAUUCUUACGGGGAGGCAGCAGUAAGGAAUCUUGGGCAAUUGGGGCAACCUUGAUCCAACC
rnacentral:rRNA from 1 species